UUUCGCUGAUAACAAAUGCAUCAACAGAAACACACAUAACGGAGCACAAAUAUGAAGGAAUGACAAGGGAGAGUGUGCACAAAAGAGAGAGUGAGAACGCAAUGUAGUCGAUACAAGUCAGUAAGGAAGCAGCAAAGUUUAGCGGAAACCGUGUUUGGUAAAUAAAAAAUAAACGGUGUGUCAGGUCUGAAAAGUACUUAGUUCGUCGGUCCAAUUAAACCUGAAAAUAAGAGUGAAGAUACAUAACUUUAAAACAAUCUAAAAGUGAGUGAAUAUAUUCAAAACUUGAUUAAGAAUAAUAUACUAAAACUUACCUCAUCGUUCAAGCUACCAUUUCGGAGUUAUUUGAAAUCUCAUAAAAAUAAAUACCCAACAAGAAUCUCAAGCCUAAUCGACUAUAAGUCUCGUUAUACUUUUUAUAAAGUUCGAAAUUCCUUGUACUGAAGUGCGCAGGUAUUAAAAAGCCAGUAGAUGAGCACCCACACAACCAAACAUCGCACAUGUGAAGGAGCAGCGCUGCAACGAAUGUGAGAAAUGUGCGAAUGUUUGGGUCAACAAUCAAAUGUUAGUACAAUUAAAACAUCAGCUUGGCGCAGCGGUGCACUGCCGCAGAGGCCCAGAAGCCAUUAGGAUGCACAACAAUUCAACACGUCUUGCGCUUUUGCGGCACACGAGAGCCGAAGGAUCCAACAACCGUAUGUGAGACACUUUUUUUCAAAAGCACAACGCCAAACAUGCAGUCGAAUGUGUGCAGUGAAGAGCUAGCUGAAGCUGUUGUGCUACAUGCCGUUCGCACUCGAGGGAAUUCACGAACUUUAUUUAUCCAUUAAAAUGUUGAAAAUCACUGUAAUCUAAUUAGAUCUCUGCGAACUUUGACACUUCAGUCGCAUGUGCUACAUACAUAUAUAUAUAUGUAUAUUAUGUCUGUACAUAAGGGUGAUCCGCUAUAGGUGCUACAAGAACAUAUAUUCAAAUCUAUGUAAAUAACUAUUUUUUUAUAUAAGGAAAGUUUUAACUCAGCAAGUUUCGGAUAUAUGACCGCAUUUGUAAUUUUUAAUUUAGUGUAAUCGGCUGUCAAUGUUUUAAACGCGUUUUUCUCGAAACUCUAUUUGCAGAGUCAGUAGGGGAAAUACCUUCGAAACGGUGAGAUCGAUCAAUUUGAGGAUUGCACAUCCAAAGGAAAAUAUUUUGCUAGUUCUUUUUAGAGAGGUUGUUUGCUAAAAACAUUACGGUUAUUUAAUAAAGAAAAUGGAUCUUUUAGACGUUUAUAGUUAUUUAAAAUUUUAAGAAGAUUUAUUAUUAACAUAAACUUAAUGGAAUAAAAUGAGGAAGUUUCCCACGCAAGCAUUUAAUUUCAAUUAUUCAGUUUGUAUGGAAGCUAUAUGCUAUAGUAAUCCGAUCUGAACAAUUUUUUCGGAGAUUUCGUUAUUACCUUAAGCAGUAAUCCAUUCAAAUUUCGUGAAGAUACCACGUCAAAUGCGAAAGUUUUCCAUACAAGCCCUUGAUUCCGACCGUUCGGUUUAUAUGGCAGCUGUACGCUAUAGGGAGCCGAUCUGAGCAAUUUCUUCUGAUAUUACAUUAUUUCUAUGAACAAUAACUCAUACCAAAUUUCAUGAAGAUAUAUUGUCAAAUGAGGAAGUUUCCCAUGAAAGCAUUUGAUUCCGAUCAUUCAGUUUGUAUGGCAGCUAUAUGCUAUAGUUAACCAAUCUGAAUAAUUUGUUCGGAGAUUACAUUGUUGCCUUAGAAAAUAAUCUAUACCAAAUUUCGUGAAUAUAUCUUGUCAAAUGCAAAAGUUUUCCUUACCAACACUAGAUUCCGAUCGUUCAGUUUGUAAGCCGAUCUGAACAAUUUCUUCAUAUAUUUCGUUAUUAUCUUAGAAAAUAACCUGUGCCAACUUUUGUGAAGAAACAUUGUCAAGUGAGUUUCCAUACAAGAACUUGAUUCCGAUCGUUCAGUUUCUAUGGCAGAUAUAUGUUAUAGUGGUCCGAUAUCGGCAGUUCCGACAAAUGAGCAGCUUCUUGAAGAGAAAAUGACGUUUGCAAAAUUUCAAAACGUUGUCUUAAAAACUGAGGGACUAUGUAGUUCGUAUAUAUACAGACAGACGGACAGAUGGACAUGUCUAAAUCGACUCAGCUCAACAUACCGACGCUUCUUCUGGGUGUUACAAACUUCAUGGCGAACUUAAUAUACCCUGUUCAGGGUAUGAAAAGUGUCUCAAUGUCACAUACAUUUUUUGUGGAGAUCCUCCUGGAGAUCAGCUACGGGAUCGAGGGAAUCAAAAACUUUUUCAAAAUUAAUAACCGAUUAUUGAAAUGCAUUAAAAUUGGUGGAUAUAACCGCUUAAGAGCUACAAUCGCAUAAUGAAAACUGGGAUUGUUCGGAAAAUAAUAGGACUGAUUUUCUUCUGCCACGACUUUACUUCGGAGCAUGUGCGCACCGACUGGAUUCGGUAGAGGGCGUUCCUAGCUAACGAACGAGUGGCUGGUCAGUUGUCUCCGAGCACCUGGAGAGUCAGGACAAACAUUUUCGCGCAACGUUUUUCGGUGAAUGGUACAAGCCGAAAAUGCUGCGUUCGUUAGAGCAGAGGUACGCGAUUAAAUUCUAUGUGAAACCCGGUAUAUCUGCGACGUUUGGUACGAUCUAACAUCAGGCCUUUCGGUCGAUGAUAAGCAAGCAUUUUGAGAUGGCAGAAGGGAUUCAAGCAGCAUGCAUCUCGGUUCUCAAGGCUAUUCCGGAGAAUGCCUUCCAUGACGAUCCAAUUCUUGGAAAUCGUGCUUGCAGCGCUGCAAAUCGACUCAGUCCUGUUACUUUCCGGACAAACCCUGUAUAUUUCGUUUGAAAAUUGUCUUCCGCCCUAUUGUAAGCUACGUAAUUACUUUCUUAUAUACAAAUAUACAUAUAUGUAUGUAUUUGUAAUUGAGAUUAUAAUAUGAAAGCUUA